CAGUCGUGUGCUGCCUGUUGUGUCCUAAGACGGGGCACAGGGAACAAGUUACCCCAGCCCCCCCUGCUGCCUUUGAUCCCCGCAGCAGUGCACUAUUGCACUGCUGAGCUGGAAAAAUGAAUGGUCCGAAAAGGGGGCGGAGCUACACAGCACUGUACUCAAAGUGACAGGCCAGCCAGCACCAUCGAAGAGAGGAGGGGAGAGGAGCAGCACACAGCACAGCCUAAAUAGGUUGGACUGGCCCACAUGGGUACGGGGGAAAGCACUGGUGGGCCCCACUGCCUGGGGGCCCACCUCCUGCUCUAAGGAUCAGGUUCCAGACUGCACCUGAAUUAUAUAUUAUACAUAUGUUACCUUAUACUGGACUAUGGUGUAUUUUCUACAGUGCAUUGCUGUUAUUAAUCUGGUACAUUAUCAUGCAUACAGCAGCUGAAUUUAAUGAAGAGGCCCAGAUGUUGCACUCUCUAAUGGUUAAUGAAACCAAUGUGGUGGCAGGCCACACCCCCUCUGCAGACUGGACACCCCCCCACCACUGCAUUCUCCCGAUGGGCCCUACAUGCCCCUGUCCGACACUGCACUCUUGUGACUAUAGACCAGAUUUGUUUCUGCUUUCAGAUGAGCUAAAGUUUUUAUGAUUAUUUUCAAACAACUUGUUCAUACCUAAGAGCUUAUAUUAAAGAAAUACACAAAUAGUUCAAGAAAAUAAAAGUAAACAUAGAACAAA